rnacentral:rRNA from 1 species
CCUACGGGAGGCAGCAGUGGGGAAUAUUGGGCAAUGGGCGCAAGCCUGACCCAGCAACGCCGCGUGAAGGAAGAAGGCUUUCGGGUUGUUAACUCCUUUUUAUAGGGAAGAGCAGAAGACGGUACCUCUUGAAUAAGCGACGGCUAACUACGGGCCAGUAGCCGCGGUAAGAGGGAGGUGGCAGGCUUUUUCCGGAUUUACUUGGGUUAAAGGGCGUUCAGGCGGGAAGACUAGUCAUAGGUGAAAUCUCGCGGCUCAAACGCGGAACUGCAGUUGAAACUGUUUUUCUUGAGUACCGGAGAGGUAAGCGGAAUUCGUUGUGUAGCGGUGAAAUGCGUAGAUAUCAGGCAGAACACCGAUGGCGAAGGCAGAUGACUGGACGGCAACUGACGGUGAGGCGCGAAGGCGUGGGGAGCGGACAGGAUUAGAUACCCGAGUAGUC